CCAAAAACCCUUUUGCAUAUCAAUAAGCGGAGGAAAAGAAACCAACAGGGAUUGCCUCAGUAACGGCGAGUGAAGCGGCAAAAGCUCAAAUUUGAAAUCCCCCCGGGGAGUUGUAAUUUGAAGAUUGCGUCUUGGAGGCGACCGUGUCUAUGUUCCUUGGAACAGGACGUCACAGAGGGUGAGAAUCCCGUGCGGCACGGCCCCCGGCUCCUUAUAAGGCGCUCUCGACGAGUCGAGUUGUUUGGGAAUGCAGCUCAAAGUGGGUGGUAAAUUCCAUCUAAAGCUAAAUACAGGCGAGAGACCGAUAGCGAACAAGUACAGUGAUGGAAAGAUGAAAAGCACUUUGAAAAGAGAGUGAAACAGCACGUGAAAUUGUUGAAAGGGAAGGGCAUGCCGUCAGAUUGUCAGUGUGGGUAAGAAGCGGGGUACAAAGACUGUGGAACGUGGCCCUCGGGUGUUAUAGCCGCAGUUCAUGCCCCGUCUCUUUCCGAGGCCUGCUUUGAGGACACCGACGUAAUGACGGUACGCCGCCCGUCUUGAAACACGGACCAAAAAAGUUUAUUGU
rnacentral:rRNA from 1 species